UUAAUUCACAAAUGCUCUGCAGAGUGAAUUUCCUUACAUUUUAGUUUUCUUACUUGAACAUUUCAGAGACGUGGAUUUUUAAAGAUGAGGAGGAGAAAUUACCUCAUACAAACUUGUACUGGUUUAAAGCCCAGCAACCUCUUAACUUUAUUUUUUUUUUCUUAUUUUUUAUUUUGUAGAAAUUUGUUACUAAUCAAUUUACACUGAGCCAAAAUAAUUACUUCCAUGCAGGCUAUCAGUUUAACCACCGUAUCUCAAACUGCUGUAAAUGCUUUGCAUGUAAAAGGCUUCAGAUUAUAUAAUACAAAGACGUCUUCCACCUUCUCCCCUUUCUCAGCAUACAUGCUCCGGAUUUAAUUUGGGCAUUUAUGCACUGGACAGUGGGGAGAAGUCAGUGUGACUCGUGCACUCGGAGGUCUCUGCUGUCGUGUUUACACUGCAAACGAAGUUUGGAGAACUUGUUUGAAGCUUUAUGGAGGAAACAUUCAGCCCUCAAAUCACCAUCUCCAGGCAAAGUGAGGCUGCUGAAGACGUUACCCGCUCGUUGCGCACACACCUCUACACGGAGAUUCUUAAUCUUCACCCACCCAAGAUUAAGACAACUCAAAUUAUGAAAUCGAUACCAAUACAAACAGCAACAUCUAUUACAGCUUCAAUGUUUUCACUGUAUUUUUUUCCGAACUAUUAAAGCGGUAUGAUUUUAAUGUGACUGUUGUUGUUUAAGCAGUACAAAUUCCCAGUUGUUUGAUGCUGUGAGUACUUAUGCAAAUGCCCCACUUUCCU